GCUUCUUCUGAGUUCUGAGAAGGGCUAGAGGUAGGGGAGAUUUUCUUGACAAUUUUGGUAUUGUUUUUCUCUUAAAGAAAAAAAUGAACGUCUCUAUGUGCUCAAUGUCAUCUGAGAUAGCAUUUUCUUCAUGCGAGAGUCUCCAAGGCCGAAAUCUUUAUUUGAUGCCUUUAAAAUCUUUUGGCAAAGAUAAUGCUCGGAUGCAAAAACGUGUUGUGGGGAAUGUUCUUGUUUCCAGCCAUUUGAUACCUCAUCAUUUGGAGGAAUCCUUUCCAAGAAAGGCACAGCUAGAGGGAAAAAAUCGGAAGUUACAGUUCAUCCGGACGUUGUUGAUUGACAACUAUGAUAGUUAUACCUACAAUAUAUUCCAGGAACUGUCCAUUGUCAAUGGUGUUCCUCCAGUGGUGAUUCGGAAUGAUGAGUGGUCAUGGGAAGAUGCAUAUCGUGUUUUAUAUCAAGAAAAGGCAUUUCAUAAUAUUGUCAUAUCACCUGGCCCCGGCACACCGACAUGCUCUGCAGACAUAGGUAAGAUACCAACACUAUGACCUACCCCUCUGUACUUUUAGACUUUAAAGAAGCAUGCCUACUGUCUGGAUUAACAUAUUCUUACAAAAUUAACAUAGUUUGCAUUCACUGAGGACGAAAUGCAUUGCCUUUAUUUUUUUGGGGCUUUGUGAUUGUCCAGAAUACGUUGGUAUUGCUUGGUUAGUCAGAUUCAUCUUGGCAUUUUAUGGAUUUUGCUUAUGUGUAAGAAAAAGAGAGAAUUCUAUUAUCAUAACGCUGUUGGUGUCAAAACUUUAACAUCACAUGUUAGGUCCAUUGAGUUAAUCCUGAUAUGCAAGUUGCUGCUACAGGAGAUUUGACCUUUACAUGUAUGUUUCUUUUCUUCUCUAUAAUAUAAUGUGGUAGGAUCAUCUAUGAGCAUGCUCAUUCAUUUUCUUGCAAUAACCAGGAAUAUGUCUUAGAGUGCUACUGGAGUGCAGAGACAUCCCUAUUUUAGGUGUCUGUCUUGGUCAUCAGGUAUUCGUCUUCAUUGUGAACUUAUCUAGUUAGUCUUCUAAAUUCUUUUGUUCUUUCUUUAUCAUCUAGCUGGAUUUUCCGCCCAUCCACCAUUAUGCUUGUCCUUAGUUGAGAGUUGAGGUUCAACUGUUUUUGUCAAAUAUUUCUCCUUUCAAAAAAAUUUGUUAUAAGCAUUUAAUUUACAUUAUUACAUGCAAAGUCGUCAUAUUGUGGUAUGUUGAUUGCAUCGUGCUUCAUCAUAGGUAACAGACGGUGCAAAGUUUGGAUUUGAAUUAGAGUGAGUUGAUUAAAAUGGAGUAGAAAAUAAUAAACCUGUUUGUAGGGUGAACUUGUGAUAUUGCAGUCUAUUUGUUCAACAGGCUUUAGGAUAUGUGCAUGGAGCUAAAGUUGUUCGUGCAUCUGUGCCUGUUCAUGGACGUCUAAGUGACGUUGAGCAUAACUGUUGUAGACUGUUCCAUGAUAUCCCUUCUGGAAGAAAUUCAGGAUUUAAGGUUGUUAGGUAUCAUUCUCUUGUUAUUGAUCCACAAUCCCUUCCAAUGGAACUUAUACCAAUAGCAUGGACUUCUUCUCCUGAAGUAGUUCCUUUUCUUGGUAUCCAAGGAUAUGAUUCUGUCUCUGACGCUCAUGAUAGACAAGGUGACCAACAAAUGUUCGUUGACUGCAUAGCGACAAAGUUGAAUGAAAGAAAAUCAUGGCCUUCUUGUCACCCUCAAGAAACAAAGAGUGAAAAAGUCCUCAUGGGCAUCAUGCACUCGACUAGGCCUCAUUAUGGUUUGCAGUUUCAUCCAGAGAGUGUUGCAACUGGUCAUGGGAGGCAAAUAUUCAAGAACUUUGCUGACAUAACAAAGGAUUAUUGGUUCAGGUUCAGAUCAUCUUCCAGUCCUGAGGGACAGGUUUAUGCUGGUGCCUGAUGUUAGCCAUCUCUUUCAAGAUGUUAUGAGAGGACAUUUGGUGAAAAAAAUGGAUGAGGCUAAACAUUUUAAUUUUUACAACAUGCCAAAGCUAAAGUAUUUAAGCAAUGAUGUGAAAUUUCUGAAGUUGAGAUGGAGAAAAUUGGCAUCCCCAGCAGGCCGACUCGGUGGAGCUAGAGAUAUUUUCUGCAAACUUUUUGGAGAUUUUAAAGCUGAGAACACCUUCUGGCUGGACAGUUCGUCUGUGGAAAAGGAAAGGGCUCGAUUUUCAUUUAUGGGGGGAAAAGGUGGCACCUUGUGGAAGCAAGUUACCUUUAGACUGUCAAACGAAAGUGAUGCAGAAUUUAGAAGUGGAGGGUAUCUAUCAAUUGAAGAUGCCCAGGGCUUUACCCAAAGUAUUAUUUUAGAGGAUGGCUUCUUUGAUUUUUUGAACAAGGUAUGUUAUAAGUUUGCUUUAUGAAGGUGUGCAGCACUUCAAAAAGCAGUAAAUUAUGCAACUUUUGGAAUUCAAUGCAUGAAUUGUUGAAUUAGCAAAUGUUCUGAUGAAGAAAUAGUCCAACAGCAGUAAAUUUUUAGAGGUAUGUGAUGCUCUUUUUGAGGUGAUCAGCCCUUGCUAUGAAUCCCAACUUUUCGGCUUCCUAUCACUUCUGGCAUGGGUGGUGGACCAUUGAAAUUGCCAAUAUGUGUGUCAUGGAUAUCUUUCAGGGAAAACUAUAAUAUGAAGUUUGAUGCCUUUGUGUCUUUCUGUUUUGGGUCAUAAACAUAGUUUAUUUGCUAUCUGUUUUCUGUGCUUAUAAUGACCUUAAACCUCAGUAUAGUGCAAGACAUUUCACCUGCUUUUUUAUCCCAUCACAUACUUUGGUCUAUGAGGAUAUUUAUGAAAAUAUUAUCUCAUGUUGAUUGCUGAUCAGAUCAUAUUUCUGGUUGAUAAGCUUAAUAAGCUUACAUUUCAGUCACUCAUUUUCCCACAUAUUUGUGUUAUGCCAUUUAGAAUGAGAUUGUUAGAUUACGCCUUUUCAAUGUCCAGCUAUUACUCUCUGUGCUUUUGAUGUCCUACAUUCUUUUGGGCAUUCUCAAGCAUGCAUUUCCUAAUUUUGUUGUGCAACUUAACAGAAGGUAGAUGUGGAUAUUAAUAUCAAAAUAAUCUUUAUUUAAUAGAUGUUUUUAUCUGUGCAUCAGGAGCUGCAUUCCUUUCGUUAUGACCAAAAGGACUUUGAAGGAUUACCAUUUGAUUUUUAUGGUGGCUAUGUUGGCUAUAUUGGGUAUGAUCUUAAAGUUGAAUGUGGCAUGGCCUUGAACCGUCACAAAUCAAGGGCCCCGGAUGCUUGUUUUUUCUUUUCAGAUAAUUUUGUUGUGAUAGACCAUCACAAGGAUGAUAUCUAUAUUUUGUCUAUACAUGAGCAAGGCACAUCUGCUAGUACAUGGUUGGAUGAUGCUGAGCAGAAGCUUCUUAGUAUUGAAAAUUCCACAACAAAAAGCUUGAUGUUUCAAGUGUCUCAAGGUUCAAUAGAUGACCCAUUGAAAUUAGGUUUUUCUGCUGGAAAAUCUAGAGAGCAAUAUAUGAAAGACAUCAACAAUUGUCAGAAAUUUAUUAAAGAUGGAGAAAGCUACGAGUUAUGUCUCACGACUCAGUUGAAGAAGAAAAUAGGGGAAAUGGAUCCAUUGGGACUUUAUCUUAAUCUUAGAGAAAAAAAUCCUGCGCCAUAUGCUGCGUGGCUCAAUUUUUCAAAGCAAAACCUGUGCAUCUGUUCUUCUUCUCCUGAGAGGUUCCUUCGAUUGGACAGACAUGGUAUUUUGGAAGCAAAACCUAUCAAGGGUACUAUAGCUCGUGGAUCUACCAAACAGGAAGAUGAAUUACUUAAAUUGCAAUUGCAAUACAGGUAAUUUAUCUGGGUUAUUUUUCAGCAACUUGGUUUUCUUCUUCCACUUCCUCAUCUUUCUAGCUUAUUUGGCUAUUAGCUACUUGAACUUUUCAAAUCUGAACUGCUUCUCUAGAAACUUCUAAAGCAAUCAUUUUCUUUCCGUUUCCUUUUUCUUUGUGUCAUAAUUGCUCUAUGUGUUUAUAUUGGUUCUCAUACUCAUCUGAGUUUCUUGACACCAUGGUUCUGGUACUAAUUGUUGGCAAUUUGUUCGGCUGCUUAAUAUGCAACUAAUGUUAGCCCCAUCCCCCAACCCUCCCGCACCCCACCCCCAAAAAAAAAAAAAAAAAAAUCACAGUGAAAAGGAUCAGGCUGAAAAUCUGAUGAUUGUCGACCUUCUGAGGAAUGAUCUUGGACGUGUAUGCGAACCUGGUUCAGUUCAUGUUCCUCAUCUUAUGGAAGUGGAGUCAUAUGCAACAGUUCACACUAUGGUGAGUACUAUUCGGGGGAGGAAGCAAGCAAAUGUAUCUGCAAUUGAAUGCGUCAGAGCUGCAUUCCCUGGCGGGUCAAUGACAGGUGCACCAAAGCUGAGAUCCAUGGAAAUUCUCGACACUCUAGAAAAUUGUUCCAGAGGCAUCUACUCUGGAUGCAUUGGGUUUUUCUCAUUCAACCAAACGUUUGAUCUUAACAUCGUCAUUAGAACAGUAGUGAUACAUGAGGAUGAAGCUUCCAUAGGAGCAGGAGGGGCCAUUACAGCUCUUUCAAGUCCGGAUGAAGAGUACAAAGAAAUGAUUCUGAAAACAAGAGCUCCCGCUAGUGCUGUUUUCGACUGCGAAAGCAAGUCACACUAAGUUUUAUAGUACAUAGUUCAGAAAAAUAUUUGAAAGGGCUGCUGAUGUGCUAAUCUGGAUUGUUGGGAUGAGGUAAUUGUAGAAUACCACAAUAGUUUAGUCAUUCUUUUAGGAGAGCUGGUAAGGAAUAUUUUGGCUCUUCACGCAAAUCACACCUACAAAUAGAAUUUUUUUUGGAAACAAUUGCUGGGAGUCGGGGCAUGAAAAUGUGGUUAUGCAGAGCAUCAUUCCAGUGCUGAUUCCCGACCUCCAUGUGUCUGUAAUAUCAAUCUCUAGAAAUUUUGAAAUUUAACAGGUGUGGAGUUAAGUGGACCUGCAAAAGGUAAACUUCCAUGGCUUCAUUGUUCACUUUGUCUCAGAAAUGAUUGUUAUUGAUACUAGGGAUGAUUUAGAGCUUUUAUGCAAGUGAUUGAUGGCAUUAUCUCGGUAGGAUUAAGUGUGGCAGACAGAGGUUAGUUAAACUGCUUAUGUAUCAGCAAUUAGCAUGUUGUAUAAUCCUCGUCUAUGGUCCUGUGGGAAUUUGAU